rnacentral:rRNA from 1 species
GACGAACGCUGGCGGCGUGCUUAACACAUGCAAGUCGAACGGAAAGGCCCUGCUUGCAGGGUACUCGAGUGGCGAACGGGUGAGUAACACGUGUGUGAUCUGCCCUGCACUUCGGGAUAAGCUUGGGAAACUGGGUCUAAUACCGGAUAGGAACCAUCUUUCGUGUGGUGGUUGGAUAGAUUUUUCGGUGUAGGAUGAGCUCGCGGCCUAUCAGCUUGUUGGUGGGGUAAUGGCCUACCAAGGCGGCGACGGGUAGCCGGCCUGAGAGGGUGUACGGCCACAUUGGGACUGAGAUACGGGCCAGACUCCUACGGGAGGCAGCAGUGGGGAAUAUUGCACAAUUGGCGCAAGCCUGAUGCAGCGACGGCGCGUGGGGGAUGAAGGCCUUCGGGUUGUAAACUCCUUUCGCUAGGGACGAAGCUUUUUGUGACGGUACCGAGAUAAGAAGCACCGGCUAACUACGUG